rnacentral:rRNA from 1 species
GAUACUGUGGUAUUCUAGAGCUAAUACUGCGCAAAUGCUCGGAUUCUCUUUCGAGGGAAGAUGAGUGCAUUUAUUGGAGGAAAACCAUUUGCGAUGGUAACAUUGCAAUUCGUUGACUCAGAAUAACUAAGCUGAUCGCAUGGCUUCGUGCCGGCGACGUGUCUUUCGAGUAUCUGCCUUAUCAACUUUCGAUGGUAGUGUAUUUGACUACCAUGGUGGUGACGGGUAACGGAGGAUAAGGGUUCGACUCCGGAGAAGGGGCCUGAGAAAUGGCCACUACGUCUAAGGAUGGCAGCAGGCGCGCAAAUUACCCACUCUCGGUACGCUGAGGAGGUAGUGACGAAAAAUGACAAGGAUAACCCUUAGGGUAAUCUAUUGGAAUGGGUACAAUUUAAACCCUUUAACGAUUAACAAUGAGAGGGCAAGUCUGGUGCCAGCAGCCGCGGUAAUUCCAGCUCUCAAAAUGCAUAGAUACAUUGCUGCGGUUAAAAAGCUCGUAGUUGGAUCUGUGUUUGCGCCGGCGGGGUCCACUUUUCGGAGUGCGUACUUCGACGCGUGCGGCUUUAGUGUCGGCUUUGCGCGUCGUAGUCUUAAGUGAUUGCGGCGUGUGGGCUGGCGAGUUUACUUUGAACAAAUCAGAGUGCUCCAAACAGGCGUUUUCGCUUGAAUGUUCGUGCAUGGAAUAAUAGAAGAGGAUUUCGGUUCUGUUUUAUUGGGUUUAAGACCGAGAUAAUGGUUAAU